CAUGGUGUCUGAAUGCAGCCCUGUCUCUGGGAGGAUGCUGAAGGUCAAGGUGAUGGCCUGCCCUAGCUAAUGCCAUGGGAGAUUCCAGGCUUCCCAGCCCUAUCUGCAAAGCCCACCAGCAGCAUGGACCUGGAGGAGCACCGCUCGCUGCUCCAGAGGGGAGUUUCCCAAAGGAUAAUCAGGCUCAGAGAUAAGGAGUUGCUUGCCUAUUUCACUGUCCGCUUCUUGCAUGACUCCUUCAGUGCCACCUGGAGAACUUGCUGCCUCAGAGAAGCUGGAGAGAGGAAAGGCUGUGCCAUGCAGCAAAUGGCUGGGAAAACGAAGAAACAAAGAAAAACAUCAAAAAACCCACACACACAAACAAAACGAGAAGGCAGGUGGCCACACAUGGCUCAGGCCUGAGUGGUACAGGAAGAGCGUUGGCUGGUGUGCAGGGCAAGAGAAGAACCUCUGCAAGGCUGAAAGGAGCAUCCCAUCUCCACAGGUGGGAUCCCGUCUCCAGAACAGGUGAAUCUUUACCUUAUCCAGCAGUUUUCUUCAAAACACCAGUAAUUAAGAGCCAAAAGCACAGCUGAAGCAUUUAAGAAUCUGGCCAGCAGCUCAUGCUCCUGUGGAUGCCACAAGUGCUGUGUAUGACCCCAGUGCUUCCAGACAACCCCAGCUCCUGAGGACUGGGCUAAACUGGCUUGCUGCAGCAGGGCGCUGCUUAAGCCCUGCAGAGCAUCCACUUUACACCUGGGAAUCAAGU